CAGCAGCCGCGGUAAUACGAAGGGGGCUAGCGUUGUUCGGAAUUACUGGGCGUAAAGCGCGCGUAGGCGGACAUUUAAGUCAGGGGUGAAAUCCCGGGGCUCAACCCCGGAACUGCCUCUGAUACUGGGUGUCUAGAGUUCGAAAGAGGUAAGUGGAAUUGCGAGUGUAGAGGUGAAAUUCGUGGAUAUUCGCAGGAACACCAGUGGCGAAGGCGACUUACUGGUCCGAUACUGACGCUGAGGUGCGAAAGCGUGGGGAGCAAACAGGAUUAGAUACCCCGGUAGUCCCUGUCUCUUAUAC
rnacentral:rRNA from 1 species